rnacentral:misc_RNA from 1 species
AAGACUAUAGACCUGCGGAGUACCUGCGGAGGGAUCAUUAUAAGAUUCUAAACAGUUCUAGCCCGUAAAAAGGCUAUGAGCUAAUUCUUAUUUAACCCAAAACUUUUUGUCUGAAUAUAUUAAUUUUCGAAUGAAAAAUGAAAACUUUCAACAAUGGAUCUCU